CGAACGUGGGUAACCGUACGCCCACUCAGAGGGGAGGUAACAUUCGGAAACGGAUGCUAAAACCGCAUAGGUCUUCGAACCGCAUGGUUUGAAGAGGAAAAGAGGCGCAAGCUUCUGCUGAUGGAUGGACCCGCGGUGCAUUAGCUAGUUGGUGAGGUAACGGCUCACCAAGGCCGUGAUGCAUAGCCGACCUGAGAGGGUGAUCGGCCACAUUGGGACUGAGACACGGCCCAA
rnacentral:rRNA from 1 species